rnacentral:rRNA from 1 species
GAUGAACGCUAGCGAUAGGCUUAACACAUGCAAGUCGAGGGGCAGCAUGGUCUUAGCUUGCUAAGACUGAUGGCGACCGGCGCACGGGUGCGUAACGCGUAUGCAACUUGCCUCACAGAGGGGGAUAACCCGUCGAAAGACGGACUAAUACCGCGUACACUCUAUUUUGGGCAUCCAAGGUAGAGGAAAUGAAAUUCGCUGUGAGAUAGGCAUGCGUCCCAUUAGCUAGUUGGUGAGGUAACGGCUCACCAAGGCGACGAUGGGUAGGGGAACUGAGAGGGUGAACCCCCACACUGGUACUGAGACACGGACCAGACUCCUACGGGAGGCAGCAGUGAGGAAUAUUGGUCAGUGGGCGAGAGCCUGAACCAGCCAAGUCGCGUGAAGGAUGACUGUCUUAUGGAUUGUAAACUUCUUUUGUAGGGGAAUAAAGAGGGGCACGUGUGCCCCAGUGAAUGUACCCUACGAAUAAGCAUCGGCUAACUCCGUG